UCCUACGGGGGGCAGCAGUGGGGAAUAUUGCACAAUGGGGGAAACCCUGAUGCAGCGACGCCGCGUGAGCGAUGAAGCCCUUCGGGGUGUAAAGCUCUUUCGGCAGGGACGAUUAUGACGGUACCUGCAGAAGCAGCUGCGGCUAACUACGUGCCAGCAGCCGCGGUAAUACGUAGGCAGCAAGCGUUGUUCGGAAUUACUGGGCGUAAAGGGUGCGUAGGCGGCUUUUUAAGUUUGUCGUGAAAUCUCCCGGCUCAACCGGGAGGGUGCGGCGAAUACUGAGAAGCUAGAGUGUGGGAGAGGAAAGUGGAAUUCCUGGUGUAGCGGUGAAAUGCGUAGAUAUCAGGAGGAACACCGGUGGUGUAAACGGCUUUCUGGACCAUAACUGACGCUGAGGCACGAAAGCGUGGGUAGCAAACAGGAUUAGAUACCCGUGUAGUCCG
rnacentral:rRNA from 1 species